UUUUUUAAAUGCAUUAUAAGGCUGCCUUGGUAUUAAAGAUAAAUUUAGUUGUGUAUUGCAAUAAGUAGAUUUGAAAACUUUGUUGAAAUCUAAUAACUUUUGAACAAAUUCAUCUAUUGAAGAUAUAUAAACUUGGGUGAAGUAAAACAUUAUAGUAACUCAUAAAAAAAAUCAAACGAGAUAUCGUAAGUAGUGGCGAGCGAACACGAUUUAGAGGUAAUAAGGUAAACAUAAGGUUGAAAUCUUCAAAGGGUGUAAGUCCCGUAAACCGAAAAACCCUUAUUUUAUUAGCAACGAAUUAUGAUAAAUUUGUUGUUACCGGGAAUCUACUCUCGACUCUAGUAUCCGUUAAUAACCGAUAGUGAACUAGUACCGUAAGGGAAAGGUGAAAUAGGACUUUUUUAGAGUUAAAAGAACCUAAAAUAUAAUGCAAGCAAUCUGUUGGAGCUUUAUUUAACAUAAAAGUAACAGCGUACCUUUUGCAUAAUGGGCCAGUGAGUUUAUCUAAAAGGCAAGCUUAACAGUAAAUAGUAGGCGUAGAUAAAUCAAGUUUUAAAAAGCUUGUAAAGUCUUUUAGAUAAGACCCGAAGCUGAGUGAUCUAACCAUGAGCAGGUUGAAAAUUUUGUAGAAAUACAUAUUGGAGGACCGAACUCGUUUCUGUUGAAAAAGAUUGGGAUGACUUGUGGUUAGGAGUGAAAGGCUAAUCAAACUCAGGUAUAGCCGGUUUUCUGCGAAAUAUAUUUAAGUAUAGCCUGUAAAAUUUUUAAAGUAGGGUAGAGCACUUUUAAAAUAAGGGGGGUUUAAAACCUUACUAAAUUUUAAAAAACUUCGAAUAUGCUUUAGUAGUUUAUGGAGUCAGACUAUAGGCGCUAAGGUCUAUAGUCAAAAGGGAAACAGCCCAGAUUAUUCGAUAAGGACUUUAAUUAAUGCUUAAGUGAUAAGAGUGUAAAAAAAUUAAGACAAUCAUAAAGUAGGCUUGGAAGCAGCCAUCUUUUUAAGAAAGCGUAACAGCUCAUUGAUCGAGUUUUUUUGCCUCGAAAAUGUAUAGAGACUAAAAGCAUAUAUCCGAAUCGGUAAUAUUUAGGUAGCAGAACAUUCUGUAUGUCGAGGAAGAAUAUUUGUUAAAAUAUUUGGAGGUAUCAGAAGCGAGUAUACUGGCAUGAGUAGCUAAAACAGUGUUUAAUCACUGUCGCCGUAAAUCUAAAGUUUCCAAUUCAAUGCUGAAUAAAAUUGGAUUAAGCGGUCCCUAAGACAAAUUACAAAUGUAUAAGUUAAUGGGAACACUUAGUUGUGACAAAAUUUAACCUUUAUUGUAUUUUUUAUUGAUUUAAAACAAUAAUUUAAAAUUUUCAGGAAAUAGCAACUAAGAUAUAAAACCGUACUUUAAACCGACACAGGUAGAUGGGUAGAACAUACUAAGGCGUUCAAGAUAACUAUGUUGAAGGAACUCGGCAAAAUUGCUCUGUAACUUCGGAAGAAGGAGUGACUUGUAAAAAAGUUGUCACUAAAGAGAGAGAAGCGACUGUUUAAUAAAAACACAAGUCUCUGCUAAUUUGAAAAAAUAUGUAUAGGGACUGACACCUGCCCGGUGCUGUAAGGUAAUGCGGAUAUGCAAAAGCAUUGAAGUUAAGCCCCAGUAAACGGCGGCUGUAACUCUGACGGUCCAAAGGUAGCGAAAUUCCUUGUCGGGUAAGUUCCGACCUGCAUGAAUGGUGUAACGACUUCUUUACUGUCUCUAACGCAAGCUUGGUGAAAUUAAAAUAUCCGUGAAGAUGCGGAUUAUUUGCAGCUAGACGGAAAGACCCCGUGCACCUUUACUAUCAUUUUAAAUUGGAUUUUUAUACUUUUUGUUUAGGAUAGGUGGGAAUAUGAAAAUAUACAAAUGAAAUACCACUCUUAAUUUAUACAAAUCCUAAUUAAUUUUUAAAAUUAAAACAGUUUAUGAAAGGUAGUUUGACUGGGGCGGUCACCUCCUAAAAAGUAACGGAGGUGUACAAAGAAAAGUUUAAAUAAUAUAUUAUUUGUAAGUGUAAUGGCAUAUACUUUUUUAACUGUAAGAUUGACAAAUCGAGCAGAGAUUUUUUUUGAAAAAAAAAAGUCGGUCAUAAUGAUCCGGUGAUUUUGAGUGGAAAAAUCAUCGCUCAACGAAUAAAAGGUACGCCGGGGAUAACAGGCUGAUGGUUUCUGAGAGUCCAUAUCGACGAAACAGUUUGGCACCUCGAUGUCGGCUCAUCACAUCCUGGAGUUGAAGUAGUUUCCAAGGGUUCGGCUGUUCGCCGAUUAAAGUGGUACGUGAGCUGGGUUUAGAACGUCGUGAGACAGUUCGGUCCCUAUCUGCUGUAAAUGUUGAAAAUUGAGGGAAUUAAACUUUAGUACGAGAGGACCAAGUUAAGUAGACCUCUGGUGUAUCGGUUGUUUUAUCAAAAGCAGCGCCGAGUAGCUACGUCUAUAAGGGAUAACUGCUGAAAGCAUCUAAGUAGGAAACCUAUCCCAAAACAAAUUUUUUAGACACGUAAUAGACUAUUACGUUGAUAGGCUUAAAAUGCAAUAAUUGUAAGAUUAUCAGUUUAUAAGUACUAACUUUUUAUUAAUUACAUAU
rnacentral:rRNA from 1 species